UAUUGCACAAUGGGGGAAACCCUGAUGCAGCAACGCCGCGUGAAGGAAGACGGUUUUCGGAUUUUAAACUUCUUUUCUUAGUGAAGAAGAAAGUGACGGUAGACAAUGAAUAAGCAUCGGCUAACUACGUGCCAGCAGCCGGGGUAAUACGUAGGAUGCGAGCGUCAUCCGGAAUUACUGGGUGUAUAGGGAGCGCAGGCGGGACUGCAAGUUGGAUGUGGAAUGCCGCAGCUUAACUGCGGAGCUGCAUCCAAAACUGUAGUUCUUGAGUGGAGUAGAGGCAAGCGGAAUUCCGAGUGUAGCGGUGAAAUGCGUAGAUAUUCGGAGGAACACCAGUGGCGAAGGCGGCUUGCUGGGCUCUAACUGACGCUGAGGCUCGAAAGUGUGGGGAGCAAACAGG
rnacentral:rRNA from 1 species